rnacentral:rRNA from 1 species
GACGAACGCUGGCGGCGUGCCUAAUACAUGCAAGUUGAGCGCUGAAGGUUGGUACUUGUACCAACUGGAUGAGCAGCGAACGGGUGAGUAACGCGUGGGGAAUCUGCCUUUGAGCGGGGGACAACAUUUGGAAACGAAUGCUAAUACCGCAUAAAAACUUUAAACACAAGUUUUAAGUUUGAAAGAUGCAAUUGCAUCACUCAAAGAUGAUCCCGCGUUGUAUUAGCUAGUUGGUGAGGUAAAGGCUCACCAAGGCGAUGAUACAUAGCCGACCUGAGAGGGUGAUCGGCCACAGUGGGACUGAGACACGGCCCAAACUCCUACGGGAGGCAGCAGUAGGGAAUCUUCGGCAAUGGACGAAAGUCUGACCGAGCAACGCCGCGUGAGUGAAGAAGGUUUUCGGAUCGUAAAACUCUGUUGGUAGAGAAGAACGUUGGGGAGAGUGGAAAGCGCAUCAAGUGACGGUAACUACCCAGAAAGGGACGGCUAACUACGUG